AAUGAACGCUGGCGGCAUGCCUAACACAUGCAAGUCGAGCGAACGGACGAAGAUUGUUCUUCGCUUCUGUGACCGACGGGCGGGUGAGUCACACGAAGAUGCCCUGCCUAUAAGGCUGACGUAACUUCAGGGGACCUUAUAUAAUAUCCGAUCAUAUUUUGAACGGGAUGGAUCAUAGGACAACGAGGUAUUUGCUGACCCUUAGACAGGUUACCGCGCUGCAUUAGCUAGUUGGUAAGGUAACGGCUUACCAAGGCAACGAUGCAUAGCCGAUCUGAGAGGGUGAUCGGCCACACUGGAACUGAGACACGGUCCAGACUCCUACGGGAGGCAGCAGUAGGGAAUAUUGCACAAUGGGCGAAAGCCUGACGGAGCAACGCCGCGUGUGUGAUGAAGGUCUUCGGAUCGUAAAACUCUGUUAUUAGGGAAGAACAGAAGUGUGAGAAAAUGUGCACAUCUUGACGGUACCUAAAGAGAAAGCACCGGCUAACUUCGUG
rnacentral:rRNA from 1 species